CGGACGGGUGAGUAACGCGUAGGAAUCUGCCCAACAGCGGGGGACAACCUGGAGAAAUCCAGGCUAAUACCGCAUACGCCCUACGGGGGAAAGACGGGGAUCUUCGGACCUGUCACUGUUGGAUGAGCCUGCGUUAGAUUAGCUUGUUGGUGGGGUAAUGGCCUACCAAGGCGACGAUCUAUAGCUGGUCUGAGAGGAUGAUCAGCCACACUGGGACUGAGACACGGCCCAG
rnacentral:rRNA from 1 species